CUGUUUUGUUGUUCAUUCAGCCACCCUAUCACUUUUGAUUGAAAUAGUUAAUCAAUUUACAUUUAAAGUAAUUGUUAAUAGAUAUUGUCAUUUUUCUUAUUCAUUUUUUU